rnacentral:rRNA from 1 species
AGUCGAACGAAGUAGCAAUACUUAGUGGCAGACGGGUGAGUAACAUGUAGGUAUCUGCCCUUUGGCCUGGAAUAACACGAGGAAACUUGUGCUAAUACCGGAUAAGUCUUUACGGAGAAAGCUUUAUGCACCAUUGGAUGAGCCUGCACUUGAUUAGUUUGUUGGUGGGGUAAUGGCCUACCAAGACUGUGAUCAAUAGCUGAUUUGAGAGGAUGAUCAGCCACAUUGGGACUGAGACACGGCCCAAACUCCUACGGGAGGCAGCAGUGGGGAAUCUUGCACAAUGGAGGAAACUCUGAUGCAGCGAUGCCGCGUGAGUGAAGAAGGCCCUUGGGUUGUAAAGCUCUUUCGUCGGGGAAGAAAAUGACUGUACCCGAAUAAGAAGGUCCGGCUAACUUCGUGCCAGCAGCCGCGGUAAUACGAAGGGACCUAGCGUAGUUCGGAAUUACUGGGCUUAAAGAGUUCGUAGGUGGUUGAAAAAGUUAGUGGUGAAAUCCCAGAGCUUAACUCUGGAACUGCCAUUAAAACUUUUCAGCUAGAGUAUGAUAGAGGAAAGCAGAAUUUCUAGUGUAGAGGUGAAAUUCGUAGAUAUUAGAAAGAAUACCAAUUGCGAAGGCAGCUUUCUGGAUCAUUACUGACACUGAGGAACGAAAGCAUGGGUAGCGAAGAGGAUUAGAUACCCUCGUAGUCCAUGCCGUAAACGAUGUGUGUUAGUCGUUGGAAAUUUAUUUUCAGUGUCGCAGGGAAACCGAUAAAACACACCGCCUGGGGAGUACGACCGCAAGGUUAAAUCUCAAAUGAAUUGACGGGGACCCGCACAAGUAGUGG